rnacentral:rRNA from 1 species
AUGAACGCUGGCGGCGUGCCUAAUACAUGCAAGUCGAGCGAACGGACGAGAAGCUUGCUUCUCUGAUGUUAGCGGCGGACGGGUGAGUAACACGUGGAUAACCUACCUAUAAGACUGGGAUAACUUCGGGAAACCGGAGCUAAUACCGGAUAAUAUUUUGAACCGCAUGGUUCAAAAGUGAAAGACGGUCUUGCUGUCACUUAUAGAUGGAUCCGCGCUGCAUUAGCUAGUUGGUAAGGUAACGGCUUACCAAGGCAACGAUGCAUAGCCGACCUGAGAGGGUGAUCGGCCACACUGGAACUGAGACACGGUCCAGACUCCUACGGGAGGCAGCAGUAGGGAAUCUUCCGCAAUGGGCGAAAGCCUGACGGAGCAACGCCGCGUGAGUGAUGAAGGUCUUCGGAUCGUAAAACUCUGUUAUUAGGGAAGAACAAAUGUGUAAGUAACUGUGCACAUCUUGACGGUACCUAAUCAGAAAGCCACGGCUAACUACGUG